AUUAUAGAACCCUAAUUUUUUCUAUAGAAAACCCUAAUUUAAAUUACCGGGUUUAAUUACGAUGUUAUUGUAUAAAUGUUUUAAUUUACCAAAGGAUAGAAAUUAAUUGGUAAAUGGUAAGAAUUAUAAUCUAAUGGUUAAAUAUUACAUUUAAUUGCUAUAUACAAAAAUGCCCAUGAAAUUAUAUGCGAAAUUACCAAAUUACCCUUUUUGGUUUAUUAGUGUAUUAUUAGUUACAUUGUUGAUGGAAUCUUGCCAAAAAUCAUGGCCAACAUCCCUACCCUACCAAUUGAGCAUCCAAGACUCAAUUAUGCAGAUUCAAUCAACCAUUGAGUAGCAUCCAAUGCAUCUAACUUGGUUUAUAUAUAGAUUAGAGAGAGAUAAUAUAUUUUGUACACUAAAAUUCAUCCAACUCUCAUCCUUAAGCUUCUCUCUCUAAAACCUACAAAUUAUUGUAGCAUACUAGUCCCUUAAUACAGUCCCACUAUCAAUCAUAACAAAUCAGAAGCAUCAAGAAGUCAGAAAUCAAAAAUCAAGCUUGAAAAGGUAGGAAACCCUAAAUUCUAGAAAUCCUUCGAUUCGAUGUUAAUUGAUGCAAUUUAUUGUUUAAAGUUGUGUAAUAGGGAGUCUAUUAAUGUUAUGGGUUGAUAAAUCAUGAACCCAUAACAUCAAAGUGCACGAAUUUGAAGAUUUGAGCAAGUUGGAAAAAAAUCGGAUUCGGUGAUUUUUUAUCAAAUGUCAGGGCUUAUAACUCUUUGGUCGAUCAUGAGUUUUGUUUUUUAAAAGUUGUUAUAUGUAGCCUGAUAUGUGGUCUUUAAUAUUCAGAAAUAAUCAAGUUCAUAUCUAUUGUAGAUCGAGAGUUAUAAGCGGUCAAAGUGGGUUGACCGGCAUUGACCGGCUGUUCUUUAAACCCAGAAAAUAUUCUAAGUGUCCAGAAAAUAUUUUUUUGGAAAAUGUCAGGCCUUAUAUCUCGGUUAUCUUUAAUGUGUUUUAUGUUAUAAAAGUUGAUAUGUGUAGUAUGUUAUGUGGAAUUUAAGCUCCAAAACUAAUCAGGUCGAUAUCUAUUUUGGAAUAAACGUUAUUGAAGGUCAAAGUCCAUUGACCAGCAUUGACCAGACAAUUUCUGGGCAGCCCAGAAUUUUUUAAGUGUUGUUAUUUUUGAUAAGGUUUGACCAUACUUUAGAUGCUUGAUUUAUUAUUUUUAUGAUGAUUUUAAGUGUUAGAGUUGUAGUCCUACAUGUUGUAUACACACUGGAAUUGAUAGAUCACGUAAACGUUGUACGAUCGUCAAGUUAUAGAGGUUCAAAGUAGGCAUCACGAACUGUUCUUCACGAAGAACAGAUCUGACAGCUACUUUGAGGUACGAUUUCUCUCAGAUAUGAUGUUGUUUUGAGGUAAUGAUUGUUGUUAAUUGUAGUCUGGUAUUUCCUCUACAAGACCCAAUUCAUAGAUUUUCCAGAUUCAUUAAGACCAAAAAGUUAUUCAUGGUCAAAGUAGCCCCCCUUGAACUGUCUCUGACAGUGUUCUUGAGAUGAAGAACACCUAUAGCGACGGUUGUCUGUCGCUAUAGCCUUUAGCGACGGAUUUUAUUUAUUUUAUUUUCUGUAAUUUCCGAAAAAUGAUUUAAAAAUUAGAAAAAUUAGAUUUUAAUUAUUAAAAAUACUUAUUAAUUUCUAAAAAAUUAUUUUAAAGUCCAAAAAAUAGUUUUUAAUUAUUUUGAGUAUAUUUCAUAAAUAUUUAAUAUUUUUGGAAUAUAAAAGGUAUUUAUUUAUUUAAUUAUAAUAUUAAAUAAAUGAUUUAAAAAUAGUUUUAAUUCAUGAAAAAUCAUGAAAAAUUAUUUUAUGGUAUAAGAAAAUAUUUUAAGUUAUUUUCCAUGACUUUUAAUAUUUUGUGAUGAAUUUCAUUAAUUAAUUAUAUAUUAAUGAUAUUAAAGUUAUUUAAUGAUUAUAUUAAAUAAUUUAGUUUAAAAAUGAUUUUAAUAUUAUAAAAAUCAUUUUAAAUGAAAUUAAGGUAUUUAAAAAUAUUUUAAGUUAUAAAAUAUAACUUUUAAUAUUUAAAGGAUAAUUUCAUUAAUAAUUUAAUAUUAAUGAUAUUAAGAUAAUAUUAAUGAUAUUUAGUUUAUUUAAUAAUUAUUAUUAAAUAAAUAGUUUAAAAAUGGUUUUAUUUAUUUAAAAAUCAUUUAAAGAGGAUAUUAAGGAUUUAAAAAUAUUUUAAGUUAUAAUUAAUGACUUUUAAUAUUUGGAUGAAUAGUACAUUAAUAUUUAUAUAUUAAUGGUGAUUAUUUAAAAAUGAUUUUAAUUGUUUUAAAAAUCAUUUAAGGGUAAUAUAAAUGUUUUAAAAAUAGUUUGAGUUAUUAUAAAUAACUUUUAUAUUUUGGCAAUGGUUUCAUUAAUAGUUUAAUAUAAAUUAAUUAUUAAUGAUAAUGGAAUUGUUUAAUGUUUAAAUCAUUUAAUUAUGAUUCCGAUGUUUGAAAGUUAUAGCCGGCCAAACUAGCUGACUUGAGAACCGAUUAUGAAGUUAUGAAGUUUUGAGGAACACCUAUAGUAACAGUUAUAUCACUAUAGGCCCGGUAGUGACAGAUUUGAAUUAUUUUAAAUUUUUCAAUUUCUGGAAAAUUCGAAAAUGAUUAAAAAUAAAAUGUUUGAUAUUUACAGAUGUUGAGGUAUAGGAUAAGAGUCUUAGACUCAGUAUUUACCCGAUAAAGCUGUCGGUACGCCGACAAAUGUCAGACCCUAUAAUAGAAAGAAAAGACUUCUGUAAGAGCAUGGAUGAGAUAUUUGAAAAAUGUAUAAAAAUAUUUCAAGUAUAGAAUAUGAACUAAAAGUAUGAUCACUGCGAUUAUGUGAUGACGUGAUUAGACUAUGUGCUGACUGUAAUAGACAGUACUAUGUGUUAUGAUAUAUUGUUCUAAUCGAACGAAUGAUCUGAUUAUUGAUAGGUUGUGAUAAAGAGAUAAAACCUAAGUUGAGAUUUGUAAUCAGCAAAUCAG
rnacentral:lncRNA from 1 species